rnacentral:rRNA from 1 species
AGUGAACGCUGGCGGUAGGCCUAACACAUGCAAGUCGAACGGCAGCACAGUAAGAGCUUGCUCUUACGGGUGGCGAGUGGCGGACGGGUGAGGAAUACAUCGGAAUCUACUUUUUCGUGGGGGAUAACGUAGGGAAACUUACGCUAAUACCGCAUACGACCUACGGGUGAAAGCAGUGGAUCUUCGGACCUUGCGCGAUUGAAUGAGCCGAUGUCGGAUUAGCUAGUUGGCGGGGUAAAGGCCCACCAAGGCGACGAUCCGUAGCUGGUCUGAGAGGAUGGUCAGCGACACUGGAACUGAGACACGGUCCAGACGACUACGGGAGGCAGCAGUGGGGAAUAUUGGACAAUGGGCGCAAGCCUGAUCCAGCCAUACCGCGUGGGUGAAGAAGGCCUUCGGGUUGUAAAGACCUUUUGUUGGGAAAGAAAAGCAGCAGGUUAAUACCCCGCUGUUCUGACGGUAACCAAUGAACAAGCACCGGCUAACUUCGUG